UGCAACCAAUUGCCAGUUAGGAAAUC
rnacentral:piRNA from 1 species